rnacentral:lncRNA from 1 species
CAGUGUAGAAAGCCCAGGCAUUGUCCCAUAGCUGGCCCUGUGGGUUUGCACUGAUUCCUCAGAAUAAGUUUGCAGAUAGCUUAACUUCCAGAAUUCCUGAGUUUCACUAGUCCCCCUUCUUUAUGAUGAACUGGAAAAAGGGUAUAUUCUGGGAUAAAGCAAGAGGAAACUGGGUGCAGCAAAGAUCCCUAGACCAUUUUUCCCAGUGGCCCAUUGCUCCUGCUGCUUUUUUCAUACCAGCUGAAUCUCCCCAAGCCCCACGUCUGCGGCAAAGUCUUCGUGGUGAAACAGGCAGGCAGUCUUCAGUAUAAGAAGCAUCAAUCUCAGAUCUUACUCAUUUCCAACAUGUACCAAUCAAAGGCCCUCCCAGCCAAGAUAAAAGCAAAGUCUCCCUCCUCCGGAGCACAUGGGAAUGGACCCCCAAUAGCUGGGGCAUGAAAGCUAAUGAAGUUUCAUCUUCCACCUCUACCCAAAUAUGACCUUGCUGAUACCAUCUCCUAUUAGAUGACAAAUCCGGAUGUUUCUAUUGCAUGGUUGUUAUUUGCCACAUGCUUCCUGGACAAGUUUCUAGGUAACCUUAAUGUCUGUGCUUCUGGGGAAGGAGGAGUAGAAAAUAACUCACCUCUUCAGUAAGUGGUUUUAAAAAUAUAACAGUGUUUAAAAGCUUUUAGAGAGCAGCUCUCCUUCCGGCUGCUCCAGCUCUGUUUGCUUUGUGAUAGGAGCCCCCGUAAAGCUUCGUGCUUGGCAACAUCUGAC